rnacentral:rRNA from 1 species
UCAAGCGAAGAAGGGCGCAGGGCGGAUGCCUUGGCACUGAGAGCCGAUGAAAGACGUGAUAAGCUGCGAUAAGCUUCGGGGAGGAGCAAAUAUCCUUUGAUCCGGAGAUCUCUGAAUGGGGAAACCCGGCUGUAUGGACUACAGUCAUCCAUAAGUGAAUCCAUAGCUUAUGGAAGGGAACCCGGGGAACUGAAACAUCUAAGUACCCGGAGGAAGAGAAAGAAACAUUCGAUUCCGUAAGUAGCGGCGAGCGAACGCGGAAGAGCCCAAACCGUGAUGCGUGCAUCGCGGGGUUCGGACUGCAUAAGGGAUUCAGUAACGACAGGAGAACGGCUUUGGAACAGCCGGCCAGAGAGGGUGAGAGCCCCGUAUCCGAAGCCAGAGCUGACCCGGCAGGAUCCAGAGUACCACGGGACACGGGAAACCCUGUGGGAACGAGCGGAGACCACUCCGUAAGGCUAAAUACUACUCAGUGACCGAUAGCGUAUAGUACUGUGAAGGAAAGGUGAAAAGAACCCCGGGAGGGGAGUGAAAGAGAACCUGAAACCCUGUGUCUACAAGCUGUGGAAGUACUUCUCAGGUACGACCGCGUACUUUUUGUAGAACGGUCCGGCGAGCUGCGGGUACUGGCAAGGUUAAGCACUUCAGGUGCGGAGCCGUAGGGAAACCAAGUCUUAAGAGGGCGUUUUAGUCAGUACGUGCAGGCCCGAAACCGGGUGACCUAUCCAUGUCCAGGUUGAAGCCGCCGUAAAAGGCGAUGGAGGACCGAACCCACAUCCGUUGAAAAGGGUGGGGAUGAGGUGUGGAUAGCGGAGAAAUUCCAAUCGAACCCGGAGAUAGCUGGUUCUCCUCGAAAUAGCUUUAGGGCUAGCCUCAUACAAGUCUGCCGGAGGUAGAGCACUGAAUUUCCGCGGGGGCGUCAAAGCCUACCAAAGAAUAUCAAACUCCGAAUGCCGGACAGAUGGUGUAUGGGAGUCAGACUGUACGAGAUAAGUUGGACAGUCAAAAGGGAAAGAGCCCAGACCGCCGGCUAAGGUCCCAAAGUGGGUGUUAAGUGGAAAAGGAUGUGGGAUCUCUAAGACAACCAGGAUGUUGGCUCAGAAGCAGCCAUUCAUUAAAAGAGUGCGUAACAGCUCACUGGUCGAGAGGUCCUGCGCCGAAAAUGUCCGGGGCUGAAACACCACACCGAAGCCGCGGAACCCGUAAGGGUUGGUAGAGGAGCAUUCUUAGGGGAGUGAAGCAUUACCGGAAGGGGAUGUGGACCGCUAAGAAGAGAGAAUGCCGGAAUGAGUAGCGAGAGCAAGGUGAGAAUCCUUGCGGCCGAAUAUCCAAGGUUUCCAGAGUAAAGCUGAUCUGCUCUGGGUAAGUCGGGGCCUAAGGAGAGGCAGAGAUGCGUAUCCGAUGGACAGCAGGUUUAAGAUUCCUGCACCCCUUGUUAUCAGAACUGCGGGGACACGGGAAGGGAAGCAGAGCCGGGAAUGGAAAGUCCGGUGCAAGCGAAGUAGUCGCAGGGUUGGAAAAUCCGCCCUGCAUGAGACGAAGGCGUGAUGCGGAGCGAAAUGAAGUAGUGAAGCUGCGGCCCCUUCCUGUCGAGAAAAGCCGCUAUCGUGUAGCAAGGGCCCGUACCGUAAACCGACACAGGUGGAUGAGGAGAGGAUCCUAAGGCCGGCGGGAGAAGUGUUGUUAAGGAACUCGGCAAAAUGACUCCGUAACUUCGGGAGAAGGAGUGCUGCGCAAGCAGCCGCAGAGAAAUGGCCCAAGCAACUGUUUAGCAAAAACACAGGUCUAUGCGAAACCGAAAGGUGAGGUAUAUGGGCUGACGCCUGCCCGGUGCUGGAAGGUUAAGAGGAGAGGUUAGCGCAAGCGAAGCUUUGAAUUUAAGCCCCAGUAAACGGCGGCCGUAACUAUAACGGUCCUAAGGUAGCGAAAUUCCUUGUCGGGUAAGUUCCGACCC